rnacentral:rRNA from 1 species
AUUGAACGCUGGCGGCAGGCCUAACACAUGCAAGUCGAACGAGUGGCGGACGGGUGAGUAAUGUCUGGGAAACUGCCUGAUGGAGGGGGAUAACUACUGGAAACGGUAGCUAAUACCGCAUACCAUCAGAUGUGCCCAGAUGGGGUUAGCUUGUUGGUGGGGUAACGGCUCACCAGGGCGACGAUCCCUAGCUGGUCUGAGAGGAUGACCAGCAACACUGGAACUGGACCACGGUCCGGACUCCUACGGUGGGCAGCGGUGGGGAAUAUUGCACAAUGGGCGCAAGCCUGAUGCAGCCAUGCCGGGUGUAUGAAGAGGGCCUUCGGGUUGUAAAGUACUUUCAGCAGGGAGGCGUUACCCGCAGAAGAAGCACCGGCUAACUCCGUGCCAGCAGCCGCGGUAAUUC